AAAUCAUGGUAGUCGGUGGGGUAGACCAAUGUUUUUAUUAACAAUAUAAAAGGAAUGUGUGGUGUGAAAGCAACGGUGACAUAAGUACUGACAGUCCGUGGAUGAAUGAUUAUGUGUCCUGAGCACCUCAGGACACAGCAAACUAGAGCAAUUCCACCAAUCAAAUGGCAAGAGAAGUCUAAUCGAAGAACCAUCCUUGUGCUGGAAGGGCAGAAUGAGUCCAGUCCGGGGACUACUGCGGCCAGACUUGGGGAAAUCAAGUUGUUGAAGGUAGCUGUGACUUUAGAGAGGUGUGCAACAGAGACAUUAAGCCAUUUCCGGUGUCUCUACCUUUAAAAUAGUUUAUUACUGGUCCAAAUGUCCAAAGACAAAUAAAGAGAAAACUGUUAUUUCCAUUCAAAUAAUGGAGGAAAAGUAGUCUACAAUUUAAACAGGAAGAUUUGAUGACAUAAAUUCAAUCUACAAUACGCAGCAUGUCGGAAGGUUACUGAUGUGGACACCCUGUGGUUUGCACACUGAGAGAUCAGCCCCCUCAAGAACCUGCUCACUGUUGAUUUUCUCCUUCUGCGCGUGCUCUCCAUCGUCCACAGUGCCCAGCGGGAGCAUCAGCACACUCUUUUGGAUGACAUCCUGGAAUAUAUUGGCAAUUGGUAUGGUUGAUCCAUCCCGGAUCAUAUCUGGUUCUGUUCCAAACACUGAAACACAGGAAAAGAAGGCAUUGAAUAAAUUAAUGAGAAGACUACCCCCAGUGAUCUCCGCAAAUGUCGUGUUCACUUUAUCUUUCUUUCUUUUUUUUUUUUUUCCCACCAUGAAAUUUGGUGGCUGGGAUAAGUAAGCGUCUUGAUAUCAUGCAAUUUAUAUUCUAAAAUAGUCAAUAGAGUCAAGAAGAAAACUGUGGUUGCCUUACUUACUAUUAUCUACUUUUAAAAAAUAUUUUUAAAUAAUAUUUUAAACUAACGUUAGCCUUACAGAAAGUUGCAAAAGUAGUACAGAGAGAGUUCUCAUAUAUUCCUUACUCUGCUUCCCCUA
rnacentral:lncRNA from 1 species